GAUGAAGAACGUAGCGAAAUGCGAUACUUGGUGUGAAUUGCAGAAUCCCGUGAACCAUCGAGUCUUUGAACGCAAGUUGCGCCCGAAGCCAUUAGGCCGAGGGCACGCCUGCCUGGGCGUCACACGUCGUUGCCCCCCCAUCUACUCCUUCGGGAUUGCGGGGGGCGGAUGAUGGCCUCCCGUCCGCCUCGCCGCGCGGUUGGCAUAAAUGCCAAGUCCUCGGCGACGCACGCCACGACAAUCGGUGGUUGCGAAACCUCGGUUGCCCGUCGUGUGCGGUCGUCGCGCAUCGAGGGCUCGAAAAAAUUGCCGGGUUCCGGCUCGGCUUUCAACGCGACCCCAGGUCAGGCGGGGUUACCCGCUGAAUUUAAGCAUAUCAAUAAGCGGAGGA
rnacentral:misc_RNA from 1 species